GAUGAAGAACGUAGCGAAAUGCGAUACGUAAUGUGAAUUGCAGAAUUCAGUGAAUCAUCGAGUCUUUGAACGCACAUUGCGCCCCCUGGUAUUCCGGGGGGCAUGCCUGUCCGAGCGUCAUUGCUGCCCUCAAGCACGGCUUGUGUGUUGGGCCUCCGUCCUCCUCCCGGGGGACGGGCCCCAAAGGCAGUGGCGGCGCCGCGUCGGGUCCUCGAGCGUAUGGGGCUUUGUCACCCGCUCGGGACGGACUCGUCGGCGCUGGUCUUCCUCCAGGCGACCCUUCGGGGCUCGUCUUCCUUCGGUUGACCUCGGAUCAGGUAGGGUUACCCGCUGAACUUAAGCAUAUCAAUAAGCGGAGGA
rnacentral:misc_RNA from 1 species